GCGUGCCUGCGGCGCGGCUCGAUGCGCAGUGCUCCGAGCAGCCGCGAGAUGGCACCGGACUCCCCCGCGCGGCGUCGGCCCUUCCCCACCCCCAGUACCCGCGCUGCGGGGAGGCUGCGGAGCCCGGGGGACGGGGAGAUGGCUGUCAGAGCAGGGCGCGUGGCCGGGCUCAGAGAAAGCCGGCCUUCCUGGCUUCUGCUCCCAGCCUGAGAGCAGGUUAGAGUUCAUCCUGCGACCGGUCAGGGCUCAGCCUGAGAGCAGGUUAGAGUUCAUCCUGCGACCGGUCAGGGCUCAGCUUGUGACGGGGUUAGCAUUCAGAUAGGCGCCGGAGUAAGGGCGCCGUCUGUUCUCUCCGGGUAAUUUCAAGAUCGUCUCUGUCUCUCGAGUUCUGUGGUUUUAAGCAUGUUUGUAGCUGUGUGUGUGUUCUUAUUUACCCGCUUGGUAUACCCUGUGUUCUCUGUUUCCUCGGACUCAUGUCUCUCAUCACAUCUGGAGAGUUCUCAGCCAUUAUCUCUUCAAUUCCGUCUCAUUCAUUCUACUUGUUCUCUCUUGGGGACUCCUAUGAAAUGAAAGCUUUAGCUGUUUUCUCUACCUCCCGCAUCAGUUCGUCUCUCUCUUGUGCUUCCCAUCUCCUGUGUCUCUGUGCUGGGUUCUGGGCCAUUUCUUCAUCUCCCUUUUCCAGUUCACCAAAUCAUUGGCUGUGUCUAAUCUGCUGAUUAACUCUUCCAUUUAACGUAAUUAUUAUCAUAUCUAAAAGUUAUACUUGCUUCUUAUUUAAGUCUGAUCAUUUUUGAUGCUCUCUUGGUGCAUGCUCAUUUUUUGGAUUCCAGCUUCAAUUUCUUGAACAUUUCAAUAUAUUUGAAAAUAUAGUUAUUUUAUAUUCUAUACCUAACAAUUCCAGUUCCUUAGUCUUUGGGGGUCUAAGUCUGUUUUGUGUUGUUUCUGGUGAUUCUCACUAAUCACAUAUGGUUUCUUUGAACGUUUGCUCCUUUUUAAUUGUCACCUGUUACCUGUGAACGUUCUGAGGGUGCAUCCCUGCAGGGGCCCUCCUGUGUGAGGAAGGGGUCCUGGUGUCGUAAGUGCCUGCGCAAAGGGCCCAUGCUUGUUUCCUGGACUGCAGUGUGGCCAGUAUGGCUCUCUAUCCCCGUGUCCAGGGAAUUCAGGAAUUCUCUGCUUUCCCAUGUUUCCCUCAUCAUCCUGGGUGUCUGCUCACUAUUCUUCAAUUUUUUACUUAUUUAUUUAUUUUUAAUGCUUAAUUUUGGGGGGACCUUGGAGAUAUUUACUUCCUUGUAAUCCCAGCAGUGUAUUAAAAAUGUCCAUAUGUUGGGGCCA